AUGAGGGAUCAGUUGGAAGAUCGGCUACAAAGAGAGACAAAGAGCCGAGUAUUUAAGGCAGAGAGGAAGAUCGUUGAACGGUAUUCUGCACCUACUGUUGCCAGGUCUUCGUCGAGCAAAGGUUUAUCAAUUGAGAAGGGUCGUGGUACUCAGCUCAAAGACAUUCCUAAUGAUAGUAUAUUGAAACAAAUUGGUUAUGAAAAUCAUAUGAAAGUUGCCACUUGUGACUAUUCCAAGCUAUAUUUCCAUUGCAGUCCAACACUUAGGAGCAUUUCUCUGGUUUCUUUCUUCUAUGAGUUGGGAAUGUCAGGAAUCAGCAGUGUUCUGCUGUACUAUCUAAAGGCAGCUUUUGGCUUCGACAAAAAUCAGUUCUCGGAAAUUUUGAUGAUGGUUGGUAUAGGUUCUAUUGCUUCUCAGAUGGUGCUGCUUCCACUAAUGAAUCCAUUGGUUGGAGAGAAAGUAAUAUUGUGCAUGGCCUUACUUUCUUCUAUAGCUUAUGCAUUACUCUAUGGUUUGGCUUGGGCAACUUGGGUGCCUUACUUAAGUGCCUCAUUUGGAGUUAUCUAUGUUCUUGUGAAACCUGCUACUUACGCAAUUAUUUCAAAAGCAUCGAGCUCAAGCAAUCAGGGGAAAGCACAGGGAUUUGUUCUUUGGUGUACAAUCCAUAGCGAGCUUGCUAUCGCCACUCGCUAUGAGUCCACUGACUUCAUGGUUCUUAUCUGAAGAUGCACCUUUCAACUGCAAAGGCUUCAGCAUGGUUCUUUUAUUGACUUGUGGUGUUCACCUUCAGAACCCAACAACCCUUAUUGCAGCCGAAUACCUUGAUCUGGUCAAUUACACACGAAGAGUGUUGUGGGAGUCUACACUAAUGGCAUCACAAGAGGGCUCAAUCUAUUGUAUAGUAAAUAAAAUGUUUGGUGAAGUACUAACAGAAUUGGUCGGAUAUAAGCCAACAUCCAAGAUUUAUUUGAUUUUUUUAGAUUUGUCUAUGUUAUAUAUUUUAAAUUAUGUUAGAUUAUGUUAGAGAUUUUGUAUUAUCAACAAUUUACUAAUUGUAUGUAUAUAUAAGUUAUUAAUUCUAUUAAA